rnacentral:lncRNA from 1 species
UUAGAGAAUAAAGAAGAAUGACAAGAGAAGAAGGAAGAAGAAAAUGAAGUUGUACUGCUUUAGAAGAACUUUGCGCUAUUAUAGAUGUAAUUAAGUUGUACUCUUUGAGCUAUAAAUUGCACCCUUUAAGAUGAAAGUUACACUAAAUAAAAAUUAUACUCUUUGGGAGAUGUACACUGUUUUUCCUCCUCCUCCUCCUCCUUUCCCUCCGCUUCCUCAUGCUUCUUCUACGCCCAACUUCUCUCCGCCCUCCAUUUUUAUCUCCAUUGCUCCUCAUGCUUCUUCUACGCCCAACUUCUCUCCGCCCUCCAUUUUCACCUUCACUGCAAUAUCUCUAAUCAAACAUUUUUGUUUACUAAAAUAAAAAAAAAAAUUAAAGGCCAAAACUAGAGAAUAAGAAAGAAGAACUAGAGAAGAAAGUGAUAGAAAAUCACGAUAUGUAAAAUAAAUAGAAAAUAAAUACAUACCAAAAAUCCAGGAUCAAAAAUAAAAAUACGAUAACUCACAGAGCGCCAUAGAGAAGAGAUUCUUGAUUAAUCUUGCGGAAGCUGGAAGUCCGGCUACGAUCUGAAAGUCACGAACCGAACUUGGGUGAUUUGGUUUCUCCCCCUAUCUUAGGCACUCUGCCGUAUGGUGUGGAACCUAUGGUAAUUCUUCACCAGAAUGCGUAUGAGAAGGUGGCAAGACCAAUACCCCUUUAUAUAGAGCCGAAAUCGACUUCCCAUCAAAGUCUGAUUAGGGAUAAAAUAUACCAUAUCAAGUAGUUCUAUAUCUGUUAGGAUUGACCUUUAUCUAUAGAAAUCCAGAUUUGAAUAUAAUUAAUUGCGCCACAAUAUAUGGAAAUCCUAACAAUCUCCCACUUGGCUCAUAUUAAUCAUAUUCCAUGAAUGGAUUUUCUAUACUCCAAACUUUAUUGCGUAUUAUUGGANGCCACAAUAUAUGGAAAUCCUAACAAUCUCCCACUUGGCUCAUAUUAAUCAUAUUCCAUGAAUGGAUUUUCUAUACUCCAAACUUUAUUGCGUAUUAUUGGAAACUUUAUAGUCAAAUACCUUAGAACUCACUUGAUCUUUAGCUCAAACUAAAAGACUAUAAUGAUAGGAACUAUGGCGGUCCACCUCUUCAUAACGAAAUUUUCCUUCCAUAAUUACCGUAUCAUCUUCACCUCCUAGCUGAGUACUUUAUAUGGCAUAACUUUAUGAAUGAACUUAAACUGUA